CAAUAGCGUAUAUUAAAGUUGUUGCGGUUAAAAAGCUCGUAGUUGGAUUUCUGCUGAGGACGAUCGGUCCGCCCACUGGGUGAGUAUCUGGCUCGGCCUUGGCAUCUUCUUGGAGAACGUUGCUGCACUUGACUGUGUGGUGCGGUAUCCAGGACUUUUACUUUGAGGAAAUUAGAGUGUUUCAAGCAGGCGCACGCCUUGAAUACAUUAGCAUGGAAUAAUAAGAUAGGACCUUGGUUCUAUUUUGUUGGUUUCUAGGACCGAAGUAAUGAUUAAUAGGGAUAGUUGGGGGCAUUAGUAUUUAAUUGUCAGAGGUGAAAUUCUUGGAUUUAUGAAAGACUAACAUCUGCGAAAGCAUUUGCCAAGGAUGUUUUCAUUGA
rnacentral:rRNA from 1 species